GGCACCCUGAUCUAGCCAUGCCGCGUGAGUGAUGAAGGCCCUAGGGUCGUAAAGCUCUUUCGCCAGGGAUGAUAAUGACAGUACCUGGUAAAGAAACCCCGGCUAACUCCGUGCCAGCAGCCGCGGUAAUACGGAGGGGGUUAGCGUUGUUCGGAAUUACUGGGCGUAAAGCGCGCGUAGGCGGAUCAGAAAGUUGGGGGUGAAAUCCCGGGGCUCAACCCCGGAACUGCCUCCAAAACUCCUGGUCUUGAGUUCGAGAGAGGUGAGUGGAAUUCCGAGUGUAGAGGUGAAAUUCGUAGAUAUUCGGAGGAACACCAGUGGCGAAGGCGGCUCACUGGCUCGAUACUGACGCUGAGGUGCGAAAGUGUGGGGAGCAAACAGGAUUAGAUACCCCGGUAGUCA
rnacentral:rRNA from 1 species